rnacentral:rRNA from 1 species
GGCCCCGCACAAGCAGCGGAGCGUGUGGUUUAAUUCGUUGCUACACGAAGAACCUUACCUGGGUUUGACAUAAUGGUGGUAGGGAUCCGAAAGGUGACCGACCCUUCGGGGAGCCGUUACAGGUGUUGCAUGGCUGUCGUCAGCUCGUGUCGUGAGAUGUUCGGUUAAGUCCGCUAACGAGCGCAACCCUCGCUGUGUGUUACAAGUGUCACACAGGACUGCCGGUACUAAGCCGGAGGAAGGUGGGGAUGACGUCAAGUCAGCAUGACCUUUAUAUCCAGGGCUACACACACGCUACAAUGGCCAGUACAAUGGGCUGCGAAGCCGCGAGGCGGAGCCAAUCCUCCAAAACUGGCCUCAGUUCAGAUUGCAGUCUGCAACCCGACUGCAUGAAGUUGGAGUUGCUAGUAAACGCAGGUCAGCUAUACUGCGUUGAAUACGUUCCCGGGGCUU